rnacentral:rRNA from 1 species
UGCCUGAUGGAGGGGGAUAACUACUGGAAACGGUAGCUAAUACCGCAUAACGUCGCAAGACCAAAGAGGGGGACCUUCGGGCCUCUUGCCAUCGGAUGUGCCCAGAUGGGAUUAGCUUGUUGGUGGGGUAACGGCUCACCAAGGCGACGAUCCCUAGCUGGUCUGAGAGGAUGACCAGCCACACUGGAACUGAGACACGGUCCAGACUCCUACGGGAGGCAGCAGUGGGGAAUAUUGCACAAUGGGCGCAAGCCUGAUGCAGCCAUGCCGCGUGUAUGAAGAAGGCCUUCGGGUUGUAAAGUACUUUCAGCGGGGAGGAAGGGAGUAAAGUUAAUACCUUUGCUCAUUGACGUUACCCGCAGAAGAAGCACCGGCUAACUCCGUGCCAGCAGCCGCGGUAAUACGGAGGGUGCAAGCGUUAAUCGGAAUUACUGGGCGUAAAGCGCACGCAGGCGGUUUGUUAAGUCAGAUGUGAAAUCCCCCGG